AAGGCAUGGACUCCCUCACUGUAACUGGGUUGCUAGUGCCCCACACAGUGCCUGGCAGAGAGUAGCUGCUCAGUGAUGAAGCCCUGCUCCAGCUUCCAGCUGGAGCGCGUUCUCCCGCCGCCAGCCUUCUGGGAAACAAAACAACCCAUGCGAUGAUUCCUCUGCAGCCUCGAGGCCUCUGAGGGGCUGCAAGGGCAUCUCCUAUCUGACCUCCUCUGGGAGUCUUCCGGGGGGACCCUAGUUGACAGCACUCUCUCCCACCUCUGAAAUGUAUUGUCCACAAGAUUCACCCGGGAUUUCCCUGCUGGUCCAGCAGUUAACGCUUCGCAAUUUCAGUGCCUCCUCUUCAGGGGGAACCGGUUCGGUUCGAUCCCUGGUCGGGGAACUAACAUCCCCCAUGCGGUGCGUGGGGGCGGCCAAAACAAACAAAGAAACAAACGAAAGCAAACAAAAAAAGGUCUCACUACACCUUCAUGGUAAGGGCUAUUAUUGUUAUUUACUAAUCUGGGAUGCAUGUGUCUUUCCUGGUUGCGUGAGACCCGAGGCUCUUUGGGACCGCAGUGCCCAGCAUGGAGUCUCCUCAGGACAGGCUGGCUGUCGACUAGCUAACGCCUCGAAGUCCUAGUGUCUAAGCUUUUGAUGUGGUGGCUCCUCUGGGGCUCUGAUGGCUGAGCGUCGGGAACUGCUAAGUCGGGAUGUCUUGGCGUAAUCGGGGGAAUUGGACACACACGCGAAGGAGCCCGGUCCCAGUGAGGUGAGGCCUGAAUGACCCUGCAGGUCGAGAGAAUGCUUGAGCGGGGAUAUUGCGAAAAUGACCAAGGUCGGUGGGCUCUAUUCAGAAAAACUCUUUGGGCAAGGAAUGUAUGAAAGAGGUUGGAAGGAGAGAAGGGCAGGGCUGGCAGAGGUUGCAGGAGGAUAUCCAGGUGGGAUAGGCUUGGCCCUGGGUGAGGAGGCUAAGGCGGCUCUGCCUGCAGGUGAGGGCCCAGGAGGGAGGGGCUUGGGCAAUUGUAAACAUUCCCUCUACACUGUGAGGACUGUGACCACGGCUCCACAACCCGCUCCCAUCCCUCCCCAAACUCUAGCCCAGGAGGGAUCCUACCUCUCACCGCCAUUUCUAGGCCCAGGCUGACCUGUGCUCCCGCGACAUCACCUGACACCGAGCUCGGGGUGGAUCAGCUUUGCUCUGUACCCUCGCGGUCCUCCCUGGGGCUGGAGCUGCCUUUGAAGUUGAUGGAGAGAAGAUUGUUCACUGUUUAGGAUGAAAAAUGACAACCAGAUGAGCAAAAGAAUGAUUAUCAGGAAUGAUAAAUAAUACACUCCAGAUGUGGCCAGAGAGAAAUGCAACUGAAAGCACCACCGCCUCCAAGUAGUCACGUUGGGGCGACCCCCUUCUCCCAACAAGGCCACGAUGACAAAAGUUCUGUAACUCUUCUUUGGGAAUUGUCUUCAGGAAGUGGAGGGGAUGAGGUCAAAACGCACCCACACAGCAACUGUUUCUAACAACGAUCGGUUAACCUACACGAAGAACUCUCCAGUUGCAGAAGUUUCCUGGACGUUUGCUUUCCUGAGGAAAGACCUGGAAGAAGGGGGUGAGCCCUGGACUGGGGAGCCUGAGGGUCAGUCUCGGGAAUACUUGCCCGCCUUGGGCGGUGGCCUCUCUGUCCUUUGGGACAGGCUCCCGUCUCUGGUCUCGAGCCGGGUGUGUGUGGUGGUGUGGGUGUGAUCACCGGGGCUGGGGGCACAGGGAGGGAUGGCAUGACCUCUAGGAGGCCCUAGCGCGGCAGAACGCUCAGCUCUCCUACUCCUUCGCUGACAGACCAAGCUGCAAAUCAGGAAUUUAUUAGGAGCUGAGACUCAUUUCCCACCCUUUACAGCCCUGACGACUCAGAGCCAGACUCUGGCAAGGG